CACGAACGCUGGCGGCGUGCCUAAUACAUGCAAGUCGAGCGCAGGAAAUCGACGGAACCCUUCGGGGGGAAGUCGACGGAAUGAGCGGCGGACGGGUGAGUAACACGUAAAGAACCUGCCCUCAGGUCUGGGAUAACCACGAGAAAUCGGGGCUAAUACCGGAUGGCACAUCGGACCGCAUGGUCCGAGGAUGAAAGGCGCUUCGGCGUCGCCUGGGGAUGGCUUUGCGGUGCAUUAGCUAGUUGGUGGGGUAAUGGCCCACCAAGGCGACGAUGCAUAGCCGACCUGAGAGGGUGAUCGGCCACACUGGGACUGAGACACGGCACAGACUCCUACGGGAGGCAGCAGUAGGGAAUCUUCCACAAUGGACGAAAGUCUGAUGGAGCAACGCCGCGUGAACGAUGAAGGCCUUCGGGUCGUAAAGUUCUGUUGUAAGGGAAGAACAAGUGCCGCAGGCAAUGGCGGCACCUUGACGGUACCUUGCGAGAAAGCCACGGCUAACUACGUGCCAGCCGCCGCAGUAACAC
rnacentral:rRNA from 1 species